rnacentral:sRNA from 1 species
UUCAAUUUGCUGGGGGCAGAUAAAAUGAAUAUGAGUAUCAAUACCUCCCGCAGUCAAAAUCAUUCCCUCCCCGGCGAUCGCUUCCGUACCCGGACCGAUAAUAAUAUCUAUAUUGUCCUGAAUAUAGGGAUUUCCUGCUUUGCCAAUCUGAAAUAUUUUCCCAUCCUUAAUCCCGAUAUCGGCUUUGACAACACCCCACCAAUCGAGAAUUAAAGCAUUAGUAAUCACCAAGUCUACCGCACCAUCAGCCUGGGAAAUUGGCGAUUGUCCCAUCCCAUCCCGAA